rnacentral:rRNA from 1 species
UACGUAGGGGGCAAGCGUUGUCCGGAUUCACUGGGCGUAAAGCGCACGUAGGCGGCCCGGUAAGUCGGAUGUGAAAUCUCACGGCUCAACCGUGGAACUGCAUUCGAAACUGUCGGGCUAGAGGCAGGUAGGGGAGAUCGGAAUUCCCGGUGUAGCGGUGAAAUGCGCAGAUAUCGGGAGGAACACCGGUGGCGAAGGCGGAUCUCUGGGACGGUACUGACGCUGAGACGCGAAAGCGUGGGGAGCAAACAGG